GGAAACACACAGGGCCUGGUAAAAUGGCGGGCUAGGGUCAAGGCCGCCCAUCUGCCUCUCUGCUGUGACGUGCGCCGGCGCCUCAAGCCCACACACCAUGGCUUCCUCCUUCCUGUUUCCAGGGCAGACUCUUCCUCGAUGUCUCCGUCCCAAUUCUCGACAGUCCAGAUGGCAAAGCCCUGUGAUGCCUUUACUUCUCUAAGGUUCACACAGAGCAAAAGAUCUUGGUAUAAAGACAGAACAAAGUCCAGUGUGCAAUGACUUCAAGGCGUCACCACUUAGAAGGGGACCCUGGAAAAUAUCCGAAACGGCAGCCAACCCUUGGCCUUUGAGUUUAAAAGUCUGGGGACUUACGAUGUGAAUUUCUACCAGGAAGUUGUGAUAUUACAGUGUUCAGCCCUAUUCCACCCAUUCCGCCCUUAAUAACAAAGCUUGAAAAUGAAUCACAAACGAAGUCAUGGCAGAGUACAUUCCAAAAGAGCAGGGGAAAUGACUGGAGCAAAGUUGUGCCUGACAUGCACACUGCUUGAAGCACACUGUGUAAAUUCCGGACGAUCAAGGAAACAACUUUAUCAGUCAUGGGACACUGGGACUGGGUGUCAUAAAGGUGCACAAACGUCUGCAAGAAUUGGAAUAAAG